CCGAGUUUACAACUCCCAAACCCCUGUGAACAUACCUAUCGUUGCUUCGGUGGGAUCGCCCCGGCGCCCCCGGGCCCGGACUCAGGCGCCCGCCGGAGGACCCAAACUCUUGUUUUAUGGAUGUAUCUUCUGAGUAAACAAGCAAAUAAAAUCA
rnacentral:misc_RNA from 1 species